rnacentral:rRNA from 1 species
UGGCGGCAGGCCUAACACAUGCAAGUCGAGCGGCAGCGGGUCCUUCGGGAUGCCGGCGAGCGGCGGACGGGUGAGUAAUGCCUAGGAAUCUGCCUGAUAGUGGGGGAUAACGUUCGGAAACGGACGCUAAUACCGCAUACGUCCUACGGGAGAAAGCGGGGGAUCUUCGGACCUCGCGCUAUCAGAUGAGCCUAGGUCGGAUUAGCUAGUUGGUGAGGUAAUGGCUCACCAAGGCGACGAUCCGUAACUGGUCUGAGAGGAUGAUCAGUCACACUGGAACUGAGACACGGUCCAGACUCCUACGGGAGGCAGCAGUGGGGAAUAUUGGACAAUGGGCGAAAGCCUGAUCCAGCCAUGCCGCGUGUGUGAAGAAGGUCUUCGGAUUGUAAAGCACUUUAAGUUGGGAGGAAGGGCAGUAAGCUAAUACCUUGCUGUUUUGACGUUACCAACAGAAUAAGCACCGGCUAACUUCGUGCCAGCAGCCGCGGUAAUACGAAGGGUGCAAGCGUUAAUCGGAAUUACUGGGCGUAAAGCGCGCGUAGGUGGUUCAGCAAGUUGGAUGUGAAAGCCCCGGGCUCAACCUGGGAACUGCAUCCAAAACUACUGAGCUAGAGUACGGUAGAGGGUGGUGGAAUUUCCUGUGUAGCGGUGAAAUGCGUAGAUAUAGGAAGGAACACCAGUGGCGAAGGCGACCACCUGGACUGAUACUGACACUGAGGUGCGAAAGCGUGGGGAGCAAACAGGAUUAGAUACCCUGGUAGUCCACGCCGUAAACGAUGUCGACUAGCCGUUGGGUUCCUUGAGAACUUAGUGGCGCAGCUAACGCGAUAAGUCGACCGCCUGGGGAGUACGGCCGCAA